rnacentral:rRNA from 1 species
AACGAGCGCAACCCUCGACCUUAGUUGCCAGCAUUCAGUUGGGCACUCUAAGGUGACUGCCGGCUAAAAGUCGGAGGAAGGUGGGGAUGACGUCAAAUCAUCAUGCCCCCUAUGACCUGGGCUACACACGUGCUACAAUGGGCGGUACAAAGGGUCGCGAACCCGCGAGGGGGAGCCAAUCCCAAAAAGCCGCUCUCAGUUCGGAUUGCAGGCUGCAACUCGCCUGCAUGAAGCCGGAAUCGCUAGUAAUCGCGGAUCAGCAUGCCGCGGUGAACUACGUUCCCGAGCCUU